CUUAUUCGUGGAAUUACCCGUUCGUAUGCCCCUGUUCAGUGAAUUGACUUUUCCGCCCAACAAAACUACCGAACGGACAGCCACCCAGAAGAGAAGUGUGCUGCUGGUUAACCUCUUGAUCCCAAUUAGAACGUUGUGGUUAACCGCAGACACUUCUCAAUUAAAAUCGAAUGCAGGGUGGUCGCUGUUCGUAUGUCGACCACGAG